rnacentral:misc_RNA from 1 species
GAGCUUUCCUCUUUCUUUCAGGCAUAUUAGUUGAAUCUCUCCUCCUCGAAAUAUGCCCAAAAAUAAAUAGACAGAUGACAGAUCGGAGCUUGCGGAGUGGUCGAUCGGAGAUGGAGAACAGACGGUACCGUUUCAGAUAAAGAUCGGAAGUCUUCUUUUCUUCCUCUCUCACUUUUCUUUCUUUUGCUAACGUGCACCGUUUCCCUCUUUUGCUAACGUGCACCGUUUCCCAGGGGGUCAAGAUGCGCUUACAUAUUUGUAGCUUAAGAGUACGGAGCAC